rnacentral:rRNA from 1 species
GACGAACGCUGGCGGCGUGCUUAACACAUGCAAGUCGAACGGAAAGGCCCUGCUUUUGUGGGGUGCUCGAGUGGCGAACGGGUGAGUAGCACGUGAGUAACCUGCCCUUGACUUUGGGAUAACUUCAGGAAACUGGGGCUAAUACCGGAUAGGAGCUCCUGCUGCAUGGUGGGGGUUGGAAAGUUUCGGCGGUUGGGGAUGGACUCGCGGCUUAUCAGCUUGUUGGUGGGGUAGUGGCUUACCAAGGCUUUGACGGGUAGCCGGCCUGAGAGGGUGACCGGCCACAUGGGGACUGAGAGACGGACCAGACUCCUACGGGAGGCAGCAGUGGGGAAUAUUGCACAAUGGGCGGAAGCCUGAUGCAGCAACGCCGCGUGCGGGAUGACGGCCUUCGGGUUGUAAACCGCUUUCGCCUGUGACGAAGCGUGAGUGACGGUAAUGGGUAAAGAAGCACCGGCUAACUACGUG